rnacentral:tRNA from 1 species
GGGGUUGUGGCUCAGCGGUAGAUCGCUCGCCUUGCCUCGCAUGUGUGAGACCCUGGGUUCAAUCCACAGCACCACA